rnacentral:lncRNA from 1 species
GAUGACAUUACAAAGAUGAGUCACAACACUCGAUGGCAGAUCUAAAGCGCGCUAUAUCGCGGAUGAGUGCAGUUUGCCUAGGAAGGCCAUUCCAGUCUCGGGCAGUUCGCACGAAGAAUGACUGCAGGAACGUAGUGGUGCGGGCUCGUGACGGGAUUACCGAGUUCGGAUGGCCUGUUCGACGAACACGAUGAGCCAGUUGGA